CAGUAGCCACGGUAAUACGAAGGGGGCUAGCGUUGUUCGGAAUUACUGGGCGUAAAGCGCACGUAGGCGGAUAUUUAAGUCAGGGGUGAAAGCCCAGAGCUCAACUCUGGAACUGCCUUUGAUACUGGGUAUCUUGAGUAUGGAAGAGGUUAGUGGAAUUGCGAGUGUAGAGGUGAAAUUCGUAGAUAUUCGCAGGAACACCAGUGGCGAAGGCGGCUAACUGGUCCAUAACUGACGCUGAGGUGCGAAAGCGUGGGGAGCAAACAGGAUUAGAGACCCCCGUAGUCCCUGUCUCUUAUAC
rnacentral:rRNA from 1 species